rnacentral:tRNA from 1 species
GGGGCUAUAGCUCAGCUGGGAGAGCGCCUGCCUUGCACGCAGGAGGCAGCGGUUCGAUCCCGCUUAGCUCCACCA